UACGUAGGCAGCGAGCGUUGUUCGGAUUUACUGGGCGUAAAGGGCGCGUAGGCGGCCAGCACAAGUCAGUUGUGAAAUCUCCGAGCUUAACUCGGAAAGGUCAACUGAUACUGUGCGGCUAGAGUGCGGAAGGGGCAACUGGAAUUCUUGGUGUAGCGGUGAAAUGCGUAGAUAUCGAGAGGAACACCUGCGGCGAAGGCGGGUAGCUGGGCCGACACUGACGCUGAAGCGCGAAAGCUAGGGGAGCGAACGGG
rnacentral:rRNA from 1 species